rnacentral:lncRNA from 1 species
CAGUGGAUUCUCAGGAGUAUGAUUUCUGGAUCUACUUCGGUGAAACUUUCUGUCACUGUGGUGAGGAUACUCAAGGCAGAAUGCCUUAUUUGUAUUCUGAGGUGCAUGCUCCCUGGAUCAGUUUAUUCGUCUGUUGCGACCAUAAUCCCAAAGACCAAUAGGGUGAAGUACCCUCCUUGGUCAAUCAAGAAAAUGGCUGUUGGAUCUUCAUCUAAUCUGCUUCGACCAUAAUCCCGAAGACCAAUAGGGCGGAAUACCCUUCUCAGUCAAUCAAUCAGGAAAAUGGCUGUUGGGUCUUCAUCUACUCUGCUUCGACCAUAAUCCCGAAGACCAAUAGGGCGGAAUACCCUUCUCAGUCAAUCAAGAAAAUGGUUGUUGGGUCUGCUUCGAUCCCAAGGACGGCCUCGAGACAUGUCUUUAAAGUAUAUAGACUGCUUUCCAAUUCACGGUUGUCCAUCUUUAGGCGUACCACGUCUUUUAGACUGGACAUAAUUGAAUGCUUUGUUCCUCAGCUACAUCCUCGCUCC